UUUAUGCACCUAGCCUUCCGUAGCGACGGCUCAGUGAGCUACCAAGGCUUCCAUCUGGAGUAUAAAGCUAAACUGCGGGAGGCUUGCUUUGAUCCGGGUAACGUUAUGAACGGGACACGCCUCGGGAAUGACUACAAGCUGGGCUCCACGGUGACGUUCAGCUGUGAGGCAGGAUAUCUGUUACAAGGACACUCCACACUGACCUGUGUGAUGGGUAACAGCAAGAGGCCUGAGUGGGACCGAGCCAGGCCCAGCUGUCAAGCGCCGUGCGGAGGCCGCUCGACAGGGUCAGAGGGGACGGUCCUGUCCCCAAAUUACCCCCGUAAUUA